UAGGGAAUCUUCGGCAAUGGGGGGAACCCUGACCGAGCAACGCCGCGUGAGUGAAGAAGGUUUUCGGAUCGUAAAGCUCUGUUGUUAAGGAAGAACGAGUGUGAGAAUGGAAAGUUCAUGCUGUGACGGUACUUAACCAGAAAGGGACGGCUAACUACGUGCCAGCAGCCGCGGUAAUACGUAGGGGGCUAGCGUUGUCCGGAAUCACUGGGCGUAAAGGGUUCGCAGGCGGAAAUGCAAGUCAGGUGUAAAAGGCAGUAGCUUAACUACUGUAAGCAUUUGAAACUGAAUAUCUUGAGAAGAGUAGAGGUAAGGGGAAUUUUUGGUGUAGCGGUGAAAUGCGUAGAUAUUAAAAAGAAUACCGGUGGCGAAGGCGACUUACUGGGCUCAUUCUGACGCUGAGGAACGAAAGCGUGGGUAGCAAACAGG
rnacentral:rRNA from 1 species